ACGCUGGCGGCGUGCCUAACACAUGCAAGUCGAGCGGAGCCAACCAGACAAUCCCUUCGGGGUGCGACUGGGGAAGCUUAGCGGCGGACGGGUGAGUAACACGUGAGUAACCUGCCCCAAAGAGGAGGAUAACAUACCGAAAGGUAUGCUAAUACUGCAUAACAUAUACCGAUUGCAUGAUUGGUAUAUCAAAGGAGAAAUCCGAUGAAAGAUGGGCUCGCGUCUGAUUAGGUAGUUGGUGUAGGUAACGGCUCACCAAGCCGACGAUCAGUAGCCGGACUGAGAGGUUGAACGGCCACAUUGGAACUGAGAAACGGUCCAGACUCCUACGGGAGGCAGCAGUGGGGAAUAUUGGGCAAUGGGGGAAACCCUGACCCAGCGACGCCGCGUGAAGGAAGAAGGUCUUCGGAUUGUAAACUUUAGUCAACAGGGACGAAGCAAUGACGGUACCUGUGGAGGAAGCCACGGCUAACUACGUG
rnacentral:rRNA from 1 species